AUGUCAAAGUGCACCACAGUCAAGUUCACGGCAAAGUUUCUUGUUGUGGCAAGUGGUGAGAAUAGUGCAGAGAAUAUUCCAAUGAUCCCUGGACUAGAAAGCUUUCCAGGUGAUGUCAUCCACUCCUCAAGCUACAAGUCAGGCAAGAGCUACUCUGGCAAGAAUGUAUUGGUCGUUGGAUCCGGCAACUCCGGGAUGGAAAUUGCUUAUGACCUUGCGACCCAUGGUGCCAACACAUCGGUUGUUAUACGAAGCCCGGUAUGUACAUGA
rnacentral:rRNA from 1 species